UACGGAGGGUGCAAGCGUUAUCCGGAUUCACUGGGUUUAAAGGGUGCGUAGGCGGGCAUUUAAGUCAGUGGUGAAAUCUCCGGGCUUAACCCGGAAACUGCCAUUGAUACUAUAGGUCUGAAUUAUCUGGAGGUCAGCGGAAUAUGUCAUGUAGCGGUGAAAUGCUUAGAUAUGACAUAGAACACCAAUUGCGAAGGCAGCUGGCU
rnacentral:rRNA from 1 species